CAGGCCUGGGACGGGACCAACGCCGGGGGGGUGAUGGAGGUCUUCGGAUCGUAUAACUCUGUUGUUAGGGAAGAACAAAGUUGGUAGUAACUGAACAAGUCUUGACGGUACCUAACCAGAAAGCCACGGCUAACUACGUGCCAGCAGCCGCGGAAAUA
rnacentral:rRNA from 1 species